AUAGAACUAUAACGUGAAAACGGGAUCGACCAUGGAAUUACUACUGGAGAAACGACUUUUGUGAACGUGAUUAUCGAACGGCUCAUAAGGGCUUUUAUGCAAACGUGAUUCUCUCUCAGUGAAAUGGUUUAUUGGUUUGCUUCUCUUGCGCAACAAUAACAAAUCGUUCGCAAUUACAAGUUUUUGGUGAGACUUCGAUUUGAUUUCAGCUUCAAUCUUCUUUGUCCCUCUUCUUCUACUACUGUUGUGCGAUGGUUGUUCGCUUCUGGUUUGUGAUUCAGUAUCGAAUUGUUAACGUGUUUUUUCGUUUCGUAACUUGUACCACAAGUGUUUGGUGAAAUACCUGAAUUGAAUUCUUUCUCUUUUUUGUUUGAUUUCUGCUGCAGAAUUGUUGUUGAUGAUGAUUGUUGUUGAUACUUGAACUCUUGAAUUGGUAUUGUUGUUGAUGCUUGAAUUCUUGUAAGUGGUGAGGGUGGUGGAGUAUGAAGCUUUGUGAAGUUAUUUGGUGAAAUUUCAAGGUUUCUUCAAAGUGAAAAAACUUGAAGAUAAUGAUGAAAUUGGAUAGAGUUUUGAUGGAAGCUUGCGUGUUGUAGAAACAAUGGCUUCUACAUCAAUUUGUGGAAUUAUACACACUAUUUUUGGUGGACAGCCUCUGCUAGUUCUAGGAGUUGCAUAACCCAAUAUUCUUAUGUACAUAGAUUUGUACAAUUAUGCCAAAAAUACGGAGGGCUUGGGACAAGAACUUUAUUUGGCUUGGGUAGCAUGGGUUUGUGUAUGGAAUGCUCUACUACUGUUUCUGUUAGCAAUAUUCAAUUCUUGGAGUGAAAGUUUAAUUAAGUGGAAACUACCAAGUUGCAUAGAGCAUUUAAAAUCACCUUCAAAUUUGACCUCUUUGAUAAUUGAAGUUGUUCAUUUGAUGAUGGAAUGAAUCAGACACUUGAAUGCCCCUGCCCCUAUUAUAAACUCUUAAAUUCGCUUCAGGGAACGAGCAGCUUGAAGACAAACCUAGGUUUCAAAACACCAGGUGAAUGUUUCUUGUAUGACCUGGUGUGAGGCUGUAUAUUUGAGGUAUUCGAUGAUCUUCCUAUUAUUGAUCAUAUAUUUUAUGGUGAAAAGAUUUUCUCUUAUAAACAUGAAUUCGGGAGAAUUGGGGUAGUGGUUGAUUUUGUAUAUGCAAUCGAAAAGUUUGCUCUUAUCUUUGAAGAAAAGGCUUCGGAUACUUCUAUUAAGAAACAACAUGUUAUGUCCUUUCUCACUUGUUGCAGACGGCUGGAGGGAACCGAAUAUAGUUUUUCUUCUGAUUUCGCAAUCGUCAUACAUAAAAUGAAGUUGUUGCAAACUAGUGUUGGUGAUUUCAGGUGCCCAAAAAAUGUAUUUUAUAUGGUCCAGAGUGGGAGUCUAUAUCUUCUAUAGCUCAUCUCCCCUUCAUUGAUAAUGGAACACAAGAAUUCAAGGAGGAGCUAAAGAGAAUUGGUGUUAUUACUGAACUGAAAGAUGGAUUGGGGUUUGUGGCUGAAUGUCUGAAUUUUCCUUCGGAUCCCUCCAGCAUUAGUCCCGAAAGUGUGUUUUCUUUACUAGAAUGCAUCCAGCUGCUAAUACGAGAUAGCAAGUUUACAAUUGAAGGUGAUUUUAGAAAAAGAUUGUCCGAACUUCAUUGCAAACUAUGGAGUUCCUUUCAUGGUAGUGCUGUGGAGUGUGGACAACUUUAUCAUUCGCAGUAGUAUCGAGUAAAGUAACUUGCAGAGUUAUCCGUUCUUUUUCUUACAAGUUGCAAUGUGAAAUUAAUUAAUAUAGUAAUAUAGUAAUAAUGCAUUGAUGUGUGUUUUUUGUGUUAGGUUGAAGGUUCAACUUUCUGAGGGAACUAGAAGUCCAUUUCAUGUCAGGCAUCCUAAACGAAUGCAAAUUCCAUUCUCAAUGGAGACAUGGAGAAGAAGAUGUGGAUGUAGUUACUGGCUCAAGCGAUCAUUAUCAUUCUCAUGCACCGAUAUCACUGGUAGUAACUCUAGUGGGUUUGAGAAUUGGGUAUUGUUUUCGAUUUCUGGGGAUGAGCCUACUCCUAGAUUCAAUGUAAUGUCUAUAUCUCUCUUUUCCCAUUCUUUUCUUUAAUCGUUGGGGAUAAGCCUACUCCUAGAUUCAAUCAUCUUGCUGCUGUCAUUGGGAAUAAGAUCAUAGUGGUCGGCGGAGAGUCUGCUACCAGAUUGUUAGAUGAUGUGCAGAUGUAAGAUCAAUUCGAUUUGCAAGUGGGGCAUUAAACCAGCCCUCAAAGUUCUAAGGUGAAUUGAAAAUGGUUAGGAGAAGAAAAUUCAGCAGUGACCACAAUUCUCAUAGUUUGUUCUAAAUUGGAAUACCGCUCAACCUAAGUAUCGAUUAAUUGUGGGGCUGGUUAAAUGUUUGCACGGUGCAGAGCAGAGUACAUGGAGUGUUACUAGUUCCUACUGCAGUUGUAUUAUUACCUUGGAAUGUUACCUUUUAUAGUGGGUCUGUUUUGAUGUAGUAUGUGAAAUUUUAACAAAAGAGAAAACAAAUAUUUUUGAAAUACUUUGGUUGUCUAAUUGUCUCUAAUUUAUUAACUUUAUUUGAAAAUUUUACUUUAAUGAUAAUUACUUUAUCUCUCUAAACAAGUGAACUUCUUAUUGAAAUGAAAUUUUUACUAAAAUAGGGUGUAAAUAGAAUUAAAUAUAAUAUAAUUUGUUCAUUCAAUGGUGUAUUUACACUUGAUUUUUACUAAAAUAGGGUAUAAUUAAGAACGU